rnacentral:snoRNA from 1 species
UUGAACAGGAUCUGUUCUAUAGGCUCGUACCACUGUAUCCUUGAGUUCUAAGGAGACAGAAAAUCAAGUCUGGUUGAUGAGGCAUGCCCAAUAGACCAGAGCGUGAUUAACACCUCCCACAGCCCACGGGUUAUGGUGCCGUAGUCUGACAGACU